ACUCAAAGGAAUUGACGGGGGCCCGCACAAGCAGUGGAGUAUGUGGUUUAAUUCGAAGCAACGCGAAGAACCUUACCAGGGCUUGACAUCCUUGGGACCUUUCAGAGAUGAAGGGGUGCCGCAAGGAACCAAGAGACAGGUGGUGCAUGGUUGUCGUCAGCUCGUGUCGUGAGAUGUUGGGUUAAGUCCCGCAACGAGCGCAACCCUUAUUGUUAGUUGCUACAUUCAGUUGAGCACUCUAACAAGACUGCCGUUGACAAAACGGAGGAAGGUGGGGACGACGUCAAAUCAUCAUGCCCCUUAUGUCCUGGGCUACACACGUACUACAAUGGCGGUAAACAAAGGGAAGCGAAGGAGCGAUUCGGAGCAGAUCCCAAAAAGCCGUCCCAGUUCGGAUCGCAGGCUGCAACCCGCCUGCGUGAAGUCGGAAUUGCUAGUAAUCGCGGAUCAGCAUGCCGCGGUGAAUACGUUCCCGGGCCUUGUACACACCGCCCGU
rnacentral:rRNA from 1 species